GUAUCCCAAAACUUAAAGUAUAACAAUAAUAAUAAUGCUGCACUGUCUUUUUUGUGUUGUUUUGUGCAUUUUUAACCUCUAAUUUCACAGCAUACUUAUUUGUCCAUAACUAUAUAUAUAGUGUUUUGCAUAUUUAAAACUUUUGUACAAAAUGUGUCAGAGUGAACAUGUUCUUUUGCAAUUUCAUUUAUUUUGGUCAACAAUAUGUGACUUUUCUUCAUGAACAUCCUGCAUAUUCCUUGUUUCAUUUAUCCUUGGUUAUUUAGAACAUUUCUUCUAUUUUAAUGCUAACUUCAAUUGACUCAAAUUUUGUUGACGGCUUGUGAGAUCAACCAAAAGCUAAAUGAAAUCAGUCUUCUGUGUGUGUGUUUGUUUUUAAUGCUUUCUAGAUUAGUCUGACAUGCACACCCAAUCGGAAAACACUAGCGCAGAAGAGGGAGAGCCUAAUAUCAGCAUUACCUAGGUAUUAGAAGAAUUUGGAUAUUAUUAUAUACACCUGGCAUGAUAGCUAGGACAGAACCUGUUCUGCCGGGAGAAGGCGCCUGCUCAGGGUUUCUCUUUCCCUACAUGGGAACCCCUGAAGGAGAGUCCUGCCUGUGAUCUUCAUUUAGAAGGCUAGUGCUGACCACUGCUUGGUUCUCAUCAAUCCAUCCUUGAGAUAUCCCCAAUCUCAUCUUAAAUCUGAAUUGAACCUGUCAUAUUAUAGCCUGGCUCUUCUCUCACCAACUAUUUGGGGGUAAUGUAGUGAUUCAUUUUGUUUCCACAUAUUAUUUUAAGUUCUUACUACCUCCUUCCCCCAUCUAGGUUCAGAUUUUCCCCUGCUUUUAACAUCUUGGUCCAGGCAGCUACAUUAUCAAACUGUACUAGGAUGGCAAAAUCAUUUUUUCACAUAUGCUAACCAUCAAUGAUUAGUGGUGAUUUUAUGGAAAAAUAUGUUGAGAAUAAUUUAGAGGAAAGAUUUGGGUUCAGAUAGAACUAUCUGCCAUUGGUAAGUAAAGUAAAGUGAUGUUGUCACUUAUUUUAUCCCAUCCAUGAUGAGAAUUGAUGUUUAUAAAACCUUUGACUAUACAAUGAGAGUAUUAAGCAAAAAACAAGUAACAAAAAUUAAAAAUAAAAUGCUUUUGUAAUCAAGGUCAGAGAGGAUAUUCUUUUACUUUUUCCAUUACAUUAUUCAUGUGUGCAUAAUGGUGUACAGUAUUACUUUCCAUGUGUAAAAAAGAAAUCAUACAAUAGAGUGCAUAGAGAAGUGGAGAAAUGGAGAAUAGUUCUCAAAGUUAUUUGAUCUGGCAGAUUAUCUUCCAAAGAUGAGUGCAACUGUAUUUUCCAUAUCACAGCCUCUUCUGGAAUAUUAAACUCUGCCCCCAUCAAGAGGUGGUGUCUGUGUCUGUUCUUGAAUUUGGGUGGGUCUUCCCGACUGCUUCAACCAAGAGAGUCCAGUAGAAAUGAUACUAUAUGAUUUUGGAGGUUAGAUCAAAAGACUGCCAUGCAUUUUAAUUUUGUUUUUUGAGGGUUGCUGUCUUUUAGAACCCAGCCAACAUACUGUGAUGAAGCCUAAACAACUGUGGAGAGGCUCACGUGGAGAGGAGUCAAUGCCCACUGAUCUAUAAGCCUUGGCUGAGCUCUGAGCCAACAGUCAUGAUCAACUUCCAGCCGUAUAAGUGAACCAUCUUGAAAGAGGCUUCACCAGCACCAAGUUGAGCAACUUGAUUAUGUUACCAAAGAUCACCUCCUUCCUAUCAUCUUCCGUCUGAGACUUGCUUAGAGUGAGUUUGGAAGCUGUGUUUUGCUCAUCCUGAAGACUGAACAUAAGAAAAUAUUGCUCAAGUUCUGGAUGAUGCAGCUGCUGAAAUAAUCUGUGGUGCACUUUCCUUCAGGAAUCCUUACCUAUUUUUUCAGGUGUUCCACAAGCCUUCUUAUCUUGGAAUUCAGUAAUACUUAUUGUGUGGUUGCUUACUGUUCCCUAGGCACCCUGAAGCAUUGAAGCUUUGAAGCUUUGUCUCAUGCUUUCAAGUAAUGUUCUCGUGUUUACCUGCUGAUAUUCCUUCAAAGUUAGAGGCUGCCUCUCUCCAAGUGUGGAAAAAAACAAUCAGAUGUCACUAAGAUAUUGUGUAACAAUUCAUAUUAAACACAUGAUCUUGUCAGUCAAGAAGAAGAGAUUAAAACAAACACCUUGAGAGUUCAUGAGUAGAAGUAUACAGCCCUGCAUUCAUGAUAAUAUGGUGCAUUUUACCUACCUUGCAGCAGAAAGAGAUAUCUAAUUCCAUACACAGCAAUGUAACUGUUUAAAGUGCUCCUAAAAUUCAGACAAAACAAAUUAUAAAUAGUAUCAAGAUCAAAGAAGCUGAAAGUCCCUAUGUUUGAUGUAGGCACAGCAAAGUUUGAUGUAUAUGCUCAUUUCUCAGCACUGCAAGUAUGGAGAAACCAUCAGAAAGCAUGCUGAAAAUAGAGAGGGCUUCUAAAACAGAAAGCUCCUGCCUGUUUUACUGAAGGCUACCAGAUUCUUUCUCAGAAAUUUUGUACAGUUCAGAGGCACAAAUGCUCUUUUAGGUCCUUUGAAGCACUGGGUUUAAUAUCGGAAUUUAAUCUUGGCUCUAGUCUCCAAUUCCUUACAUAGUCAUUCAAGCAAUCUUGGGGACCAAGUCUUCCAAUAGCAUAGUGAUAUUCAUGCCUGAAGUGGGAGGAAUAGAUAUCCUCCUCAUUAACAAGGGAUGAGAGAUCAUGUUUCAUAGGCAAAAUACUCAUGCAUGCAAAAAUGUAACUUUUCCAGUAAUUUUUUUAGUACUGAAAUUAGCUUAGCUCAUUAGCUCUCUCUUCUACCUAGUAGCAGGGAAUGCAGUUUUGCUAACCCAGGUGACUCAUUAUUUCUGUUUUCAAGUUUAGUUUAUUUUAGGUAAAUUUUUGAAUUCAUAAUGUUUUUCUGACCUUUCUUCUCUUCCAGAAGAGGUUAUUCUAACUUCUUAAUGGAUUUACUUUUGUAGUUGUUACUGUUAUAUAUAUAUAAUAGAUAAAUAUAUAUAAUAUAUAAUAUAAUAUAUAUUAUAAUAUAAUAUAUUAUACAUUGUAUAUAAUAUAUAUUUAUAUAUUAUAUAAUAUAUAAUAAUAUAUAUUAUAUAUUAUAUAAUAAUAUAUAUUAGAUACAAUAUAAUAUAUAAUAAUAUAUAUUAGAUAUAAUAUAAUAUAUAAUAAUACAUAUUAUUAAUAUAUAAUAAUAUACAUUAUAUAUAAUAUAAUAUACAAUAAUAUAUAUUAUAUAAUAUAUAAUAAUAUACAUUAUAUAUAAUAUAAUAUAAUAUAUAAUAAUAUACAUUAUAUAUAAUAUAAUACACAAUAAUAUAUAUUAUAACAUAUUAUAUAAUAUGUAAUAAUAUAUAUUAUUACAUAUUAUAUAAUAAUAUAUAUUAUUACAUAUAAUAUAAUAAUAUAUGUUAUAACAUAAUAUACUGUAUAAAUAUAUAUUAUUUUUACAAAAAUCAACUUUAUUGUUGCAUAACUCACAAAAAAUAAAAUUCAUUAUAUUAAA